rnacentral:rRNA from 1 species
GGCGAGCGACAGGGACAAGCCCAGCACCGAAUCUCUAGCGCCCCGCGCGCUAGCGAAAUGUGGUGUUCAGGAGGGUCCGUAUUUCCGAGGCUCGCCUCGCCGAGUCCAAGUCCUUCUUGAACGGGGCCACGGUCCGCAGAGGGUGCCAGACCCGUAGCGACCGGUGGCGUCCUCGGUUGGACCUCUCCUUAGAGUCGGGUUGCUUGAGAGUGCAGCCUAAAGUGGGUGGUAAACUCCAUCUAAGGCUAAAUAUUACCACGAGACCGAUAGCGAACAAGUACCGUGAGGGAAAGUUGAAAAGAACUUUGAAGAGAGAGUUCAAUAGUACGUGAAACCGUUCAGGGGUAAACGGGGAAGACUCGAAAAUCCGAAACGAGAGAUUCACGUCUUCCGCCGGCUCGGUCAAGCCCUGCCGCGUAUGGCCGUACUCCCACGCUCUGGCUUCGGUCCGGGCGUCGGUGGGUCGGCCGGCCGGCAUGGCGCGGCUGCGUCGCGGAGGACCGCACUUCUCUCACAGUAGGACGUCGCGACCCGUUCGGAGGCAGGCCUGAUGCCCGGCCAGAAGUCUCGAGUCGGCGACGACCCCCGGGUCGUCGCCCUCGAGUCGGCUGAGGCAGGGCGGCGUUACGGACGGUAGUUAAAGACGGUGUCGAACCGCUCAACCCGAGCGCUUCCGGCCACUCCCGAGUCGGACGUCGAGCGCGGCUGCGGGCCUCUUCGGGCCCGCGCCGCUUCGCGUCUGGCUGUCGGGGAGUGGUUCUGAGGCCGAGUUCACGGCACCAGUCGGCGACGCCGCAGUUUCGAGCUCUUACCCGGCCCGUCUUGAAACACGGACCAAGGAGUCCAACGUGUGCGCGAGUCGUUGGGUGAGAAAAACCCAAUGGCGUAAUUAAGGUGAAGGGAAGUUCUCUUUCCUUAGGGAGGAGGGUGGCUUGCCUUUAACGGGCGGCCGUCCGCACUCCCGGGGCGUCUCUCGCUCAUUGCGAGCUGAGGCGCACCUAGAGCGUUCACGUUGGGACCCGAAAGAUGGUGAACUAUGCCUGGCCAGGACGAAGCCAGGGGAAACCCUGGUGGAGGUCCGUAGCGGUUCUGACGUGCAAAUCGAUCGUCGGAGCUGGGUAUAGGGGCGAAAGACUAAUCGAACCAUCUAGUAGCUGGUUCCCUCCGAAGUUUCCCUCAGGAUAGCUGGCGCCCAGGUGAGACGAGUCUCAUCUGGUAAAGCGAAUGAUUAGAGGCCUUGGGGUCGAAACGACCUCAACCUAUUCUCAAACUUUAAAUGGAUGAGAACCCCGGCUUGCUUGAUUUAGUGAAGCCGGGGCUCGGAUCCGGGUGCCAAGUGGGCCAUUUUUGGUAAGCAGAACUGGCGCUGUGGGAUGAACCAAACGCGGAGUUAAGGCGCCAAAAUCGACGCUCAUCAGACACCAUGAAAGGCGUUGGUUGCUUAAGACAGCAGGACGGUGGCCAUGGAAGUCGGAAUCCGCUAAGGAGUGUGUAACAACUCACCUGCCGAAGCAACUAGCCCUGAAAAUGGAUGGCGCUGUAGCGUCGUGCCUAUACUCCGCCGCCAACGGCAAACUCGGCGCGGUCCCCCCGAGGGGCCGGUCGCUGUUAAGCCUUGGUGAGUAGGAGGGCCGCGGCGAUGUGCGUAGAAGGGUCUAGGCGCGAGCCUGCCUGGAGCCGUCGCCGGCGCAGAUCUUGGUGGUAGUAGCAAAUACUCCAGCGAGGCCCUGGAGGACUGAUGUGGAGAAGGGUUUCUUGUGAACAGCCGUUGCACAAGAGUCAGUCGGUCCUAAGCCCUAGGAGAAAUCCGAUGCCGAUGGGCGCCGUUAACCCAUGCCAAGUGGGCCAGCUCCGCUAGCGCUGUCUGUCUCGGGGAGCCCCCCCGGCCGGAAGCCGCAAAGGUGAUGAACGAACGUCGUUUUGACCGGAUCCCCGGUUCGCGGGUCACGCCAGGACGUCACGUCCCGGUGUGCGCCCAAGUCCUGUUCCGGGACCGGUCGAACGACGCGAGUGACUCGCUUCGCGGUGGAGGUCGGGGGACCAACGCGCUCCCCCUGGCUAUUUGGCGGAGGUGACCCUGUUGGUGGUGAUUGCUGGCGCCCUAGGUCGGGCGAAAGGGAAUCCGGUUCCUAUUCCGGAACCUGGCAGCGGAACCGUUUCCAGUCGUGCCCUCUGACGAGAGCUCGUCGGGGUAACCCAAAAGGACCCGGAGACGCCGUCGGGAGAUCCAGGGAGAGUUGUCUCUUCUCUAUAAGCGUUCGAGUUCCCUGGAAACCUCUAGCAGGGAAGAUAGGGUUUGGAACGCGAAGAGCACCGCAGUUACGGCGGUGUCUGGAUCUUCCCCUCGGACCUUGAAAAUCCGGGUGAGGGCUACGAGGAACACCGCGCCAGACCGUACCCAUAUCCGCAGCAGGUCUCCAAGGUCAACAGCCUCUAGUCGUUAAAAUAAUGUAGGUAAGGGAAGUCGGCAAACUGGAUCCGUAACCUUGGGAUAAGGAUU